GGGGGCAACUCCUCCAGUCGAGCGGCGGACGGGUGAGUAACACGUGGGCAAUCUGCCCGAAAGUGGGGAAUACCCCAGGGAAACUUGGGCUAAUACCGCAUGUGAUCGCGACCUCGAAGGGGGAUGCGAUCAAAGGGGGGUCGCAAGACCUCCCGCUUUCGGAGGAGCCCGCGCCCGAUUAGCUAGUUGGUGAGGUCACGGCUCACCAAGGCUUCGAUCGGUAGCCGGCCUGAGAGGGUGAUCGGCCACACCGGAACUGAGACACGGUCCGGACUCCUACGGGAGGCAGCAGUGGGGAAUCUUGCGCAAUGGGCGAAAGCCUGACGCAGCAACGCCGCGUGAAGGAUGAAGGUCCUUGGAUUGUAAACUUCUGUCGGCCGGGAAGAAAUUCAUCGGGGUUAAUACCCCCGGUGAUUGACUGUACCGGCAAAGGAAGCCCCGGCUAACUCUGUGCCAGCAGCCGCGGUAAUACAGAGGGGGCAAGCGUUAUUCGGAAUUAUUGGGCGUAAAGGGCGCGUAGGCGGUCCAUCAAGUCUCUCGUGAAAUCCCUCGGCUUAACUGAGGACGUGCGGGAGAUACUGCUGGGCUUGAGUCCGGAAGAGGGUGGUGGAAUUCCCAGUGUAGCGGUGAAAUGCGUAGAUAUUGGGAGGAACACCGGUGGCGAAGGCGGCCACCUGGGCCGGAACUGACGCUGAGGCGCGAAAGCGUGGGGAGCAAACGGGAUUAGAUACCCCGGUAGUCCACGCCGUAAACGAUGGGCACUUGGUGUCGCGGGUAUCGACCCCUGCGGUGCCGAAGCUAACGCA
rnacentral:rRNA from 1 species